rnacentral:rRNA from 1 species
GACGAACGCUGGCGGCGUGCUUAACACAUGCAAGUCGAGCGGAAAGGCCACUUCGGUGGUACUCGAGCGGCGAACGGGUGAGUAACACGUGAGUAAUCUGCCCCUGGCUUUGGGAUAGGCACCGGAAACGGUGAUUAAUACCGGAUACGACCACUUCUCGCAUGGGAUGGUGGGGGAAAGUUUUUUCGGGCAGGGAUGUGCUCGCGGCCUAUCAGCUUGAUGGUGAGGUAAUGGCUCACCAUGGCUUCGACGGGUAGCCGGCCUGAGAGGGUGACCGGUCACACUGGGACUGAGACGCGGCCCAGACUCCUACGGGAGGCAGCAGUGGGGAAUAUUGGACAAUGGGCGGAAGCCUGAUCCAGCAACGCCGCGUGAGGGAUGACGGCCUUCGGGUUGUAAACCUCUUUCAGCAGGGACGAAGCGCAAGUGACGGUACCUGCAGAAGAAGCACCGGCCAACUACGUGCCAGCCGCCGCGGUAA